UACACUUCGGCUCUCUUGUACUUGAAGAUUGUGUUUCGUUUUCUUUGGUGCUCACUCUUUCGUGUUUCUUCUUCUGUUUGCUUGCAGGGCUUAUCACGCUUUACAAUCCUGUGGAAUCACGGGCAGCGAGUGUUGGCGCUGGCAUUGAAAAACAGAAUCAGUGAGAUAACCUCUCUGCUCUUGCUACGUUAACAAUCAAUGGUUUCUUCAAAAUGCACACUGGGCUACGAGAUUAAAGAACUUGUCACGUCCAUGCAGCUGCGCGAACUGACCAUGGAACGACUUGUGUUAUAGGUGAUCGAGAUAAGUCUGAGAAUCGCUUCAAGGAGCGCGGGUCCAAAAACAUGCCUCAAGUAAAG